UGAGGAAUAUUGCUCAAUGGCCGCAAGGCUGAAGCAGCAACGCCGCGUGAGGGAUGAAGCAUCUAUGGUCUGUAAACCUCUGUAGAGAAGGAAAAAUAACCCAUUAUAUGGGCUUGAUAGUACUUCUAGAGUAAGCCCCGGCUAACUACGUGCCAGCAGCCACGGUAAUACGUAGGGGGCGAGCGUUGUCCGGAAUCACUGGGUGUAAAGGGUGCUCAGGCGGGUCGAUAAGUAAGAGGUGAAAUUUCACAGCUUAACUGUGAAUGUGCUUUUGAUACUGUCGGUCUAGAGUUCAGAAGAGGGCAAUGGAAUUCUUGGUGUAGCGGUAAAAUGCAUAGAUAUCAAGAAGAUCACCAGUUGCGAAGGCUGUUGCGUGGUCUGUAACUGACGCUCAAGCACGAAAGCGUGGGGAUCAAACA
rnacentral:rRNA from 1 species